AUGUCACGUUUGUAGACGGAUUGGACAGAAAGACUCUAGGAAUCACUAGGAACUGUACAGUCAGAACUUCUGGACAACCAUGGUCCCGCCCCCCCACAGCUCCAGUUUCCACCCACUAAUCCGCUGAGCAUCAAGGGACAAAGGCUGCAGUUAGCAGGCAAUGGGAAUCCUACUAAACCAGGCAAGACUUCAGUUGCUAUCAGCCCAAGUGUGCAGUUUACUGCUUCCGUGAGAACCAAUUGUUUACGGCACACAAAA